GACGAACGCUGGCGGCGUGCUUAACACAUGCAAGUCGAACGGAAAGGCCCUGAUUUUGUGGGGUGCUCGAGUGGCGAACGGGGGAGUAACACGUGAGUAACGUGCCCUUCACUUUGGGAUAACUUAAGGAAACUGGGGCUAAUACCGGAUAGGAUCUCCUGCUCCAUGGUGGGGGUGGGAAAGUUUCGGCGGUUGGGGAUGGACGGGCGGCUUAUCGGCUCGUUGGUGGGGUAGUGGAUUACCAAGGCUGUGCCGGGUAGCCGGCCUGGGAGGGUGACCGGCCACAUUACGCCUGAGCUACGGCGCAGCCUGCAACGGUAGGCAGCGGUGGGGAGUAUUACACAGUGGGCCGGAGCCUGAUGCGGCAACGCCGCGUGCGGGAUGACGGUCUGCUGGUAGUGAACCGCUGUCGCCUGUGACGAAGCGUUAGUGACGGUACCGGGAGAAUAAGCACCGGCUAACUACGUG
rnacentral:rRNA from 1 species